rnacentral:rRNA from 1 species
ACUCCUACGGGAGGCAGCAGUGGGGAAUAUUGGACAAUGGGCGCAAGCCUGAUCCAGCCAUGCCGCGUGUGUGAAGAAGGCCUUAUGGUUGUAAAGCACUUUAAGCGAGGAGGAGGCUACUUUAGUUAAUACCUAGAGAUAGUGGACGUUACUCGCAGAAUAAGCACCGGCUAACUCUGUGCCAGCAGCCGCGGUAAUACAGAGGGUGCAAGCGUUAAUCGGAUUUACUGGGCGUAAAGCGCGCGUAGGCGGCUAAUUAAGUCAAAUGUGAAAUCCCCGCAG